GACGAACGCUGGCGGCGUGCUUAACACAUGCGAGUCGAGCGGAAAGGCCCUUCGGGGUCCUCGAGCGGCGAACGGGUGAGUAACACGUGAGUAAUCUGCCCUUGGCUUUGGGAUAACUACCGGAAACGGUGGCUAAUACCGGAUACGACAACCGUCUGCAUGGGCUGGUUGUGGAAAGUUUUUUCGGCCAGGGAUGUGCUCGCGGCCUAUCAGCUUGUUGGUGGGGUAAUGGCCUACCAAGGCUUCGACGGGUAGCCGGCCUGAGAGGGUGACCGGCCACACUGGGACUGAGACACGGCCCAGACUCCUACGGGAGGCAGCAGUGGGGAAUAUUGGACAAUGGGCGGAAGCCUGAUCCAGCAACGCCGCGUGAGGGAUGACGGCCUUCGGGUUGUAAACCUCUUUCAGUACCGACGAAGCGCCGAUGAUGGUGGUGACGGUAGGUACAGAAGAAGCACCGGCCAACUACGUG
rnacentral:rRNA from 1 species